UCCUGGAUAGUCCAGUGGUUAAGACUCUGUGCUUCCAAUGCAGAGGGUGCAGGUUUGAUCCCUAGUCAGGGAA
rnacentral:tRNA from 1 species